UUUUCCCUCUCCCUCGCGCACCCGAGCCGCACUUCUUCCCCCGCCCGACGCGAACUCUCUGCCCUAACCGGAGCCGGCCCGGCGGUUCCUUCUUCCCCCUUCUCUUCAUCUCCUCGCCAAGGACCAUGCCCUAAACCUCCCUCGCGCCGACUUCCUCUCCCGAUUCCUUUCUCUCCUCUGCCGAGCCGGUUUGUGCCCUAGCCAUCCCCGACUGUGCCGAUCUCUUCUUCCUCCUUGUCUAAGCACCGGCGACGCGCGAGCACAGCCGGACCGAGCCCUCUCUGCCCACUGACGGCGUCCGUUUGUCCUCAGCAAAGCAGCGCCGCACCCCUUGUGCCGAUAGCCGCCGUGCCCUAGCUAGUAGCCGGCGUUGCACGGAGCCGCACCUCUGCCCCUCACUGUCGCCGGCCAUCAGGUACAGCCGAGCCUUAGUUGGUUUUGAAGGUAAGUUGUGUGGUGUGGAAUUUGGGUUAUGGCUUGAUCUGUGUUAAUGAUCUCAAUUCUUGACCUUGCUUGGACCAAUCGGUGGAUUUCUUCUAUCUGUGUUGCUACUGUGCCCUAGUUCACCACUGACGGUGCCACUCUCUUCUUUACAGCAGAGUGGUGAUCUUGUAGCUGGAAGGGGGUUUUUCUGGUGGGUUUUCUAGGUUUCCAGCAGCGACUCUGGCUAUUGGGAUCCGACAACAAUGCUACUGGGGACUGAAUUCAUUGACCUAUCUGGUUGUAAAUUAACAGAAGAGGGUUGUGAGAGGUGAAGGAGCAGUAAGGACUUUGACGCGAGACGAGUAUCUCGACGUCGUAUUCGGACCAGAUUUGGGCUUUUCGAUU